rnacentral:rRNA from 1 species
GACGAACGCUGGCGGCGUGCCUAAUACAUGCAAGUAGAACGCACAGUUUAUACCGUAGCUUGCUACACCAUAAACUGUGAGUUGCGAACGGGUGAGUAACGCGUAGGUAACCUGCCUGGUAGCGGGGGAUAACUAUUGGAAACGAUAGCUAAUACCGCAUAAUAUUGAUUAUUGCAUGAUAAUUGAUUGAAAGAUGCUAUUGCAUCACUACCAGAUGGACCUGCGUUGUAUUAGCUAGUAGGUGAGGUAACGGCUCACCUAGGCGACGAUACAUAGCCGACCUGAGAGGGUGAUCGGCCACACUGGGACUGAGACACGGCCCAGACUCCUAAGGGAGGCAGCAGUAGGGAAUCUUCGGCAAUGGACGAAAGUCUGACCGAGCAACGCCGCGUGAGGGAAGAAGGGUUUCGGAUCGUAAAGCUCUGUUGUAAGAGAAGAAAGGGUGUGAGAGUGGAAAGUUCACACUGUGACGGUAUCUUACCAGAAAGGGACGGCUAACUACGUG